rnacentral:lncRNA from 12 species
GAACACCAGGCAAGCAUUUAUGAGUUUCAAAAUGGUGCAGGUGAUUAGCUAGAGCUUACCUGGCGAGCAGUGUGCCUUUUAAGUUAUUUCAAUAACGACUGACUCUACCUUUGAAUGAUGCUCAGCAAACAGGAAAACAGUGGGUGUCCCAUUUUGCCUUUUGCUUCUCAGUACCUUCAAGGGAUCAUGUCAUCAUUGGCACGGAGAAAAAAAACCAAGGACAGAAAGCAGGCC